rnacentral:rRNA from 1 species
UACGUAGGUGGCAAGCGUUGUCCGGAUUUACUGGGCGUAAAGAGCGCGCAGGCGGUCGUUCAAGUCGCGUGUGAAAGCCCCCGGCUCAACUGGGGAGGGUCACGCGAUACUGAUCGACUCGAAGGCAGGAGAGGAUGGUGGAAUUCCCGGUGUAGCGGUGAAAUGCGUAGAGAUCGGGAGGAACAUCAGUGGCGAAGGCGGCCAUCUGGGACAACACUGACGCUGAAGCACGAAAGCGUGGGGAGCAAACAGG